rnacentral:rRNA from 1 species
GUGUGACUGCGUACCUUUUGUAUAAUGGGUCAGCGACUUAUAUUCUGUAGCAAGGUUAACCGAAUAGGGGAGCCGAAGGGAAACCGAGUCUUAACUGGGCGUUAAGUUGCAGGGUAUAGACCCGAAACCCGGUGAUCUAGCCAUGGGCAGGUUGAAGGUUGGGUAACACUAACUGGAGGACCGAACCGACUAAUGUUGAAAAAUUAGCGGAUGACUUGUGGCUGGGGGUGAAAGGCCAAUCAAACCGGGAGAUAGCUGGUUCUCCCCGAAAGCUAUUUAGGUAGCGCCUCGUGCUCCGGGGGUAGAGCACUGUUUCGGCAAGGGGGUCAUCCCGACUUACCAACCCGAUGCAAACUGCGAAUACCGGAGAAUGUUAUCACGGGAGACACACGGCGGGUGCUAACGUCCGUCGUGAAGAGGGAAACAACCCAGACCGCCAGCUAAGGUCCCAAAGUCAUGGUUAAGUGGGAAACGAUGUGGGAAGGCCCAGACAGCCAGGAUGUUGGCUUAGAAGCAGCCAUCAUUUAAAGAAAGCGUAAUAGCUCACUGGUCGAGUCGGCCUGCGCGGAAGAUGUAACGGGGCUAAACCAUGCACCGAAGCUGCGGCAGCGACGCUGAUGCGUUGUUGGGUAGGGGAGCGUUCUGUAAGCCUGUGAAGGUGUGCUGUGAGGCAUGCUGGAGGUAUCAGAAGUGCGAAUGCUGACAUAAGUAACGAUAAAGCGGGUGAAAAGCCCGCUCGCCGGAAGACCAAGGGUUCCUGUCCAACGUUAAUCGGGGCAGGGUGAGUCGACCCCUAAGGCGAGGCCGAAAGGCGUAGUCGAUGGGAAACAGGUUAAUAUUCCUGUACUUGGUGUUACUGCGAAGGGGGGACGGAGAAGGCUAUGUUGGCCGGGCGACGGUUGUCCCGGUUUAAGCGUGUAGGCUGGUUUUCCAGGCAAAUCCGGAAAAUCAAGGCUGAGGCGUGAUGACGAGGCACUACGGUGCUGAAGCAACAAAUGCCCUGCUUCCAGGAAAAGCCUCUAAGCAUCAGGUAACAUCAAAUCGUACCCCAAACCGACACAGGUGGUCAGGUAGAGAAUACCAAGGCGCUUGAGAGAACUCGGGUGAAGGAACUAGGCAAAAUGGUGCCGUAACUUCGGGAGAAGGCACGCUGAUAUGUAGGUGAAGUCCCUCGCGGAUGGAGCUGAAAUCAGUCGAAGAUACCAGCUGGCUGCAACUGUUUAUUAAAAACACAGCACUGUGCAAACACGAAAGUGGACGUAUACGGUGUGACGCCUGCCCGGUGCCGGAAGGUUAAUUGAUGGGGUCAGCGCAAGCGAAGCUCUUGAUCGAAGCCCCGGUAAACGGCGGCCGUAACUAUAACGGUCCUAAGGUAGCGAAAUUCCUUGUCGGGUAAGUUCCGACCUGCACGAAUGGCGUAAUGAUGGCCAGGCUGUCUCCACCCGAGACUCAGUGAAAUUGAACUCGCUGUGAAGAUGCAGUGUACCCGCGGCAAGACGGAAAGACCCCGUGAACCUUUACUAUAGCUUGACACUGAACAUUGAGCCUUGAUGUGUAGGAUAGGUGGGAGGCUUAGAAGUGUGGACGCCAGUCUGCAUGGAGCCGACCUUGAAAUACCACCCUUUAAUGUUUGAUGUUCUAACGUUGACCCGUAAUCCGGGUUGCGGACAGUGUCUGGUGGGUAGUUUGACUGGGGCGGUCUCCUCCUAAAGAGUAACGGAGGAGCACGAAGGUUGGCUAAUCCUGGUCGGACAUCAGGAGGUUAGUGCAAUGGCA